GAUGAACGCUGGCGGCGUGCUUAACACAUGCAAGUCGAACGGAGUGCCUUUGAAAGAGGAUUCGUCCAAUUGAUAAGGUUACUUAGUGGCGGACGGGUGAGUAACGCGUGAGGAACCUGCCUUGGAGUGGGGAAUAACACAGUGAAAAUUGUGCUAAUACCGCAUAAGCGCACAGUGCUGCAUGGCACAGUGUGAAAAACUCCGGUGGUAUGAGAUGGACCCGCGUCUGAUUAGCUAGUUGGUGGGGUAACGGCCUACCAAGGCGACGAUCAGUAGCCGGCCUGAGAGGGUGAACGGCCACAUUGGGACUGAGACACGGCCCAA
rnacentral:rRNA from 1 species